UUUAUGGAGAGUUUGAUCCUGGCUCAGGAUGAACGCUGGCGGCGUGCCUAAUACAUGCAAGUCGAGCGAACGGACGAGAAGCUUGCUUCUCUGAUGUUAGCGGCGGAUGGGUGAGUAACACGUGGAUAACCUACCUAUAAGACUGGGAUAACUUCGGGAAACCGGAGCUAAUACCGGAUAAUAUUUUGAACCGCAUGGUUCAAAAGUGAAAGACGGUCUUGCUGUCACUUAUAGAUGGAUCCGCGCUGCAUUAGCUAGUUGGUAAGGUAACGGCUUACCAAGGCAACGAUGCAUAGCCGACCUGAGAGGGUGAUCGGCCACACUGGAACUGAGACACGGUCCAGACUCCUACGGGAGGCAGCAGUAGGGAAUCUUCCGCAAUGGGCGAAAGCCUGACGGAGCAACGCCGCGUGAGUGAUGAAGGUCUUCGGAUCGUAAAACUCUGUUAUUAGGGAAGAACAUAUGUGUAAGUAACUGUGCACAUCUUGACGGUACCUAAUCAGAAAGCCACGGCUAACUACGUGCCAGCAGCCGCGGUAAUACGUAGGUGGCAAGCGUUAUCCGGAAUUAUUGGGCGUAAAGCGCGCGUAGGCGGUUUUUUAAGUCUGAUGUGAAAGCCCACGGCUCAACCGUGGAGGGUCAUUGGAAACUGGAAAACUUGAGUGCAGAAGAGGAAAGUGGAAUUCCAUGUGUAGCGGUGAAAUGCGCAGAGAUAUGGAGGAACACCAGUGGCGAAGGCGACUUUCUGGUCUGUAACUGACGCUGAUGUGCGAAAGCGUGGGGAUCAAACAGGAUUAGAUACCCUGGUAGUCCACGCCGUAAACGAUGAGUGCUAAGUGUUAGGGGGUUUCCGCCCCUUAGUGCUGCAGCUAACGCAUUAAGCACUCCGCCUGGGGAGUACGACCGCAAGGUUGAAACUCAAAGGAAUUGACGGGGACCCGCACAAGCGGUGGAGCAUGUGGUUUAAUUCGAAGCAACGCGAAGAACCUUACCAAAUCUUGACAUCCUUUGACAACUCUAGAGAUAGAGCCUUCCCCUUCGGGGGACAAAGUGACAGGUGGUGCAUGGUUGUCGUCAGCUCGUGUCGUGAGAUGUUGGGUUAAGUCCCGCAACGAGCGCAACCCUUAAGCUUAGUUGCCAUCAUUAAGUUGGGCACUCUAAGUUGACUGCCGGUGACAAACCGGAGGAAGGUGGGGAUGACGUCAAAUCAUCAUGCCCCUUAUGAUUUGGGCUACACACGUGCUACAAUGGACAAUACAAAGGGCAGCGAAACCGCGAGGUCAAGCAAAUCCCAUAAAGUUGUUCUCAGUUCGGAUUGUAGUCUGCAACUCGACUACAUGAAGCUGGAAUCGCUAGUAAUCGUAGAUCAGCAUGCUACGGUGAAUACGUUCCCGGGUCUUGUACACACCGCCCGUCACACCACGAGAGUUUGUAACACCCGAAGCCGGUGGAGUAACCUUUUAGGAGCUAGCCGUCGAAGGUGGGACAAAUGAUUGGGGUGAAGUCGUAACAAGGUAGCCGUAUCGGAAGGUGCGGCUGGAUCACCUCCUUUCU
rnacentral:rRNA from 1 species